GACGAACGCUGGCGGCGUGCUUAACACAUGCAAGUCGAACGGUAAGGCCCUUCGGGGUACACGAGUGGCGAACGGGUGAGUAACACGUGGGUGAUCUGCCCUGCACUUCGGGAUAAGCCUGGGAAACUGGGUCUAAUACCGGAUAGGACCACUGCCUGCAUGGGUGGUGGUGGAAAGCUUUUGCGGUGUGGGAUGGGCCCGCGGCCUAUCAGCUUGUUGGUGGGGUGAUGGACUACCAAGGCGACGACGGGUAGCCGGCCUGAGAGGGUGACCGGCCACACUGGGACUGAGAUACGGCCCAGACGCCUACGGGAGGCAGCAGUGGGGAAUAUUGCGCAAUGGGCGCAAGCCUGAUGCAGCGACGCCGCGUGAGGGAUGACGGCCUUCGGGUUGUAAACCUCUUUCAGCACCGACGAAGCGCAAGUGACGGUAGGUGCAGAAGAAGGACCGGCCAACUACGUGCCAGCCGCCGCGGUAA
rnacentral:rRNA from 1 species